rnacentral:lncRNA from 1 species
GGGCGAAGCAGUGUGCAGCAGAAACUAAGACGCAUACCCCAGCAGCUCAAGACGAGUUCCAGAGAGCACAGAGACAGGCCAGGACGGGCAUCCUUCCGGAAAGGGGACCCACGCCGAAGAGAGCUUCAAAAGCAUGGAGGAAAAGCAAUUUUCUGGCAUACUGUUGGAAACAUUUGCCAGAGGGCUCCUGAGGAACAGAGCUGGUCUCACAGUAAAGCAGUCGCUCAGUCAGGGCUUCAGCAAACUCCAAGCCAUGCACAUGCCAUGACAAACCGAGGCCUCAGGAUGCAGGAGAGAUGAAAAAGUCAGGGCUUCGAUUCUGAGCUGUCAGGAGAACAGCCUCAAAACUCUUUCCACACACUUUACUCACCCCCUCAAAGCAUCACAUGCAUUUGUGUUAUAUUUGGUUUUGUUUUACAUGUAGGUCUUUGUUUGAUUCUCUUGUGUAUUUCAACUAAUUUUCUAAAUGACAUAUUACUAAAAAACAUUUAGAUAUCCUACUUUAUAUAGACAGGUAUUUGUAAUAAACUAAUGUUUAAAAGGUAAUAUUAAUGUAAUAUAUGUGAUUUCAACAAUUUUCUAAAUGACAUAUUCUAAAAAACAUUUAGAUAUCCUACUUUUAUAUAGACAGGAUUUUGUAAUAAAACUAAUGUUUUAAAGGAAUAUUUAAUGUAAUAUAUGUCAUAUUUAAUGUAAUAUAUUUUACUGAAUGUAAAUUAAUAGAAAUCAAGCUCUUUCAGUAGCAUUUCUGGCAUAGUGUCAAUUACAAAAGAAAUGAAAAAAGUUUGGUUAUAGCAAGGCAUUAUUAAUGAAUGUAAAUUCAGCCAACAUUUGUAAAUAAAAACACACUAUUUAUAACUGUAAGUGUUGUAUUGCAUGAUUUUAUUACAUGAUAAUAUAUAAUAUUUGGACAGAAAUUAAUACUUUUAUUCAGCAAGGAUGCAUUAAAUUGAUCAAAAGUGAUGUUAAAUACAUUUAUAAUGUUACAUAUAUUUAUUUUUGAAAUAAAUGCACUCUAUUCACAAAAAUGUUUCACAGUUUCCACAAAAACUAUUAUGCAGCAACUGUUUUCAACAUUUAUAAUAACAGAAAAUGUUUCUUGAGCACAAAAUCAGCAUAUUAGAAUGAUUUUUGAAGGAUGGUGUGAAAUCAGUUAUUGUAAUUAAUAUUUCAAUAUUUAUUAAAUAUUACUGUAUUAAUAUUAAAAAAAAAUUAAAAAAAAAUUAAACGUUUUACUGUAUUUUUGAUCAAAUAAAUGCAACCUUGGCGAGCACUAGACACUUUUAAAAAUGUUCCACCAACAAAAAAUCUCAAAUUUUUGAAUGGUACAGUUUAUCCAUAAACUUAGUCAUGAUUACGUAAUGCAGGUAAAGUGUAUGGACAUAAUAACUUUAUGUGCAUUAUUUCUGCACAAGGAUACCAAGAAGAGAGGUGAUAUAACCUUCUUGUUUACAUCGAUCUGAACAGGUUGUGUGUUUAAGAUGGUUGACUUAAAUCAACAGAACAUAAUCUCUGCAUACAUAAAUAAUACAAAAUACAGUCUGAACAGAAGCUGCGUGAACCAUAACAUGCUUCUGCAUGAUGUUCUGACAAGUAUCCACAAAUAUUACAUAAGUAAUGAAUAGCCAAUAGCAAGUUUAGAUCAAAUAUUAUAUUUAAAAUGUUUGUUUUAACAUUAACAUUUUAAACAUGUAAAUGCUUUAACAAGUAUUUUGUUGUCAUUCCAGCAAGGAAUAGAGUUGAUUUAAAUGUUGUGUCUCCAGGCCAGUGAACACAAUGCUGUACAUUAUACAUGGCAAAUUGUAUGAGUAGGCACUACUAGCUGGGGUUUACAAUGGACAGCACAAAGGUAAGACCAAAGGAAGUGAGAAAUAACGAAGUGUAUGUGGUGGAUGUGUUGAGGCCUCAGUUCUCAACAUAGGGGUAAGAACUCUGUGUCUUUGUGAGGGAACUUCUCAAGAAAAUCUUUCAGUAAUUGUUUUUUCUUUUUUUUUUAUAAGCAACUAGAGAACUAGAGGGAUUAGUAAAUGUAUUUUUAAGUGUAAAGUAGAAUUAGUUUUUUAGCCUUUACUAAGGUAUAAGAAAGUCCCACAGUGUUUUUUUUGUUUUUUUUAAUGACUUUGGUUAUUUUUGGAAUGCUGUUAUACAUGUCUUAAAACUGUGUAGAGACAUGACAUAGGGAAUGACAGAUAUACGUCCUCAUGAACAUUCCAUGAUGGUUAAUCAUGUUUUAUUCUGGAUUCUAGAAGGUGUUUGACAAUAACUAUUUGUUAAGAAGUAGGCAUUUUUAUUAUAGCACAAAACGGUCAUAAAUAAUAGCCAGUUUCUUGUUUAUAUGACCAUGAAGAGCCAUCCUCAAACUCCCACAAGAUGGCUACAAGAGCUGUUAUGGAUCCUGCCUAGUAUUUAACAGUUGUCAACUAGCUUAAUGGGUUGAAGACCCAUUCUUUAAAUGGAAGCCAAACCAAAAACAUGUAGCACAAAACUGCUAAUUCACUUGUGUGGUACCUAUUAAUUGUCUUGAGGAGUUUGUGAACACUAUUUCUUGUGCACAAUACACUUCUUAUGUGGCUACAUUUAUGUGAUCAUUUUUUAGAUAUAAUGGAAUAAUAAGAAUGGAAUAAUAAGGAAGCUACAAGGCUUCAUAUAUUUGAAAGUAAAAACAGUAAUAAUGUUAAAUAUUAUUACAAUUUAUAAUAACUACUUCUAUUUUAUAUAGUUCUAAAUAGAAUUUAUUCCAGUGAUGGCAAAGCUGCAGCUUUAGCAGUCAUUACUCCAAACUUCCGUGUCACAUGAUCCUUUAAAAAUCAUUCUAAUAUGCUGAUUUGGUGUUCAAGAAACAUUUAUUUUUAUCAAUGUUGAAAAUAGAUUUGCCGUAUUGUCAUUGUUGUUACUUUCUCUUUUGAUC